rnacentral:lncRNA from 1 species
GGCCAGUGGGGGAGGGGCGGCGACGGGGGGCGGCCCUUCCUCCGCAGGACUCAGGGUGGCCCCGGGGGGCGGGGGUCCCGGGCGCGGCGGGGCGAGCCGGGCCGCUGUGGCCGUCGGGUGGAGCCCGCCGAUUCAGGACGGCGGGGCGGGACUCCUGCGGGGCCGGCUAGCACAGUGGAGCCGGCGGAAGUCCGCGGACGCGUCCCUGGCGCUCGGGGGCUCGCGAGGCGCGCUUUGUGCUUUGCCCUUCGCGCUGCCUGGGGCCGCGGCCUCCUCGCCCUCCCGGCUCGUGUUCCUGCCCGGAGGAUCGGCGCGGGGCCCGGCUGGACGCUGCCCUUCGCGGCACUGGCCGGGCUGCCGGAGCAGCGGGCGACGUCCGGGACCGACCGCGGGGUGCUGGACAACUUUGGAUAUUGAAGGUUGACUUCGUGGACUGCCCUGGUGAAAUGACCAGGAGCAGGCCUGGCGUUCUGUAGCACUAAAGAUCGUAGAAAGGAAAAGUGUUUAUAUACAAAAUGCAGAUGAGCCCCUAACGUCAUGUUUAGUAGAUUCAAGACGAACUGUUAAAAGGGAAUGACAUAAAAAUUUUAAUCCAAAUCAGAAAAGGAACUCCUCAGCGCACUAGGAAGAUCAGAUUAUUUGAGAGGGCGUGUGUGCUGUACCUAUGGCUAUUGCUAAUUCUGUGGUUAAAAUGAUUCUAAUGGAAACUUUGGUGAUUAAGAGAAUGGGCUUGCUUUAGAAAUACGUCUAGCCUCAAUUUCCUAAGCCAUAAAUUUUAUAGCAUAGUGCCUGGUUCAGUAAAUGGUAGCUUACUCUUAUUGUUGUUGUUUUAUUAUCUGUGCAGUAUGGCAGCCCUUAGGAGGGCUCCCCAGAGGUGAUAAACUGAGGCGCUUUACAGGAUGAUACGCAGAUAAAUUACUAAGAUGAAAAGGAGGACUGGGCACUUAGCCUGUCUCCUCAACAACUUAUAGAGUUGUCUUAUGUAGAUGAUUUGACCACAGACUUAAUAUGCUAUCUGAUUUCUAUGGCCAAAGCCAAUGUCCUGAGGUUAGCCAGUAUUGCCCAAAGGCACCAGGAGCAACUUGUUUUGCCUGAAUAAAAAAGGACUUUGAAGAUAUUAUCCUUUUGGUAGCUUAAAAGAUACACCAAGAAAAAUAAUUAUUACAGUGAAAUCCAAAUGAAACAUGAGAAUUAUUUUUUUGUUUUGUUACACCUGAUUUAUUCCCUAUGGUAAAUAUUACACAUAAUAAGCAUUAUGUCUUAUACAACACAGGUCAAGAAACCAUCUGGGAUGUGGCAAGGUAGUAGAGCUUCCACCUGUCAUGCUGGGGUGCCUGGAUUCAAUCCCCAGCACCUUAAAAAAACCUGAAGAUAGAAUGCAGGGCUCUAUAGAGGACCCCCUGGGUUGCCACAAGGAAGGAAAACCCCAGAUCCAAGUGAUAACCCCUCCUACUCAACACUUUAAUGCAAUAGGUAUUUCUUGAAUUUGGUCCUUAGUAAACAGUAAUUAUUGUUGUUUGCAGUACCCAGUACAUGCUAGCACACAGUAGGCAAGCACUUUGCACUCUAGUUCCAAGCUACAUCUGUAUUCCUUUUUUUUUUUUGGGGUACCAGGGAUUAAAUUCAAGGACACUCAACCACUGAGCCACAACCCCCGCACUUUUUUGUAUUUUAUUUAGAGACAGGGUCUCACUGAGUUGCUUAGCGCCUUGCUUUUUGCUGAGGCUGGCUUUGAAUUUCUAAUCCUCCUGCCUCAGCCUCCUGAGCCACUGGGAUUACAGGUGUAUGCCACCAGCCCCGGCCUAGGAUUACUCUUGAGUAGCAGAUUCCAGGCCCUGACCCAAUGCGCCUGGCAGCAGUGAUUCUUUUUUUUUUUUUAAGAGAGAGAGAGAAUUUUUUUAAUAUUCAUUUUUUAGUUUUCGGCGGACACAACAUCUUUGUUUGUAUGUGGUGCUGAGGAUCGAACCCGGGCCGCACACGCAUGCCAGGCGAGCGAGCGCGCUACUGCUUGAGCCACAUCCCCAGCCCGCAACAGUGAUUCUUGGUGCCAGUACCGAGUGCUGUUCUUUACUAGUCUGUCUUCCUGCCACUCCAUUAGUAGAGAAGGGUUUUGUUAUUGUUGUUGGUCUCCCCUUCAAUUUCCCUUAGAAAUUUAGCCUUUUAGAAGACAAAAAAAAAAAAGAAGAAGAAGAGAGGACUAUAGCAGCAGUAAUUGACCCAACUUCAACAGUGAAUAAGUGUUUGUGGGGUAACAAAGUGACAGAUAGAAUGCAGGGCUCUAUAGAGUGUGACAGGCCUGGGUUUGUGCUGUGUCUCCUUUAUUUUUCAGGUGUACUGUACUACUCCUGGGCUCCAGGGGGCGAAUCUAGAAUUCCUUGAGUAAUUCAAGAGCAUUAGCCCCAGUAGUCAGAUCCUUGGAAUCUAUGAUUCUUUGUUUUCUGUUAAAAUACACACACACACCAAAAAAAAAAAACCUGCUGCAGAAUGCUAAUUCUCAGAUGAUUGAAGUUGCUUAGAAAAGAGGAGGGGGGGAAAGCCAACAUUAGCACAGGUUGUGACAAGUUAAAAAUACUCACAAUACCCUGGGUUCCCAGUUAGUAACUUGAGAAUGUAGCUAUUUUAAUUGAGUUACCAAAUAUAGCUUCACCUUCCUAAAUCUCACUAGCUACACUACAUUCAUUUGGGGGAACAUUGAGGAAUGCUUUCUGCUUCCCUUUUUAACUGUGUACUUGAGUAUUUUUCCCAGAACAAUUUUCUGAUGUUAGUUUUUUUGUUCAGAUAAAUGGUAUAUCCUCUGGCCCCCAUCAGUGGGGGGUUGAACCCAGAGGCAAUCUACCACUGUACCACAUCCCCAGCACCUUUUAUUUUCUGUCUUGAAACAGGGCCUCCUGUAUUGCCAAGACCAGCCUCAAACGUGUGAUUCUCCUGCCUCAGCCUCCCAAGGGGCUAGGAUGACAGGUGAGCUCCCCUGCACCAGCCUAUCCUGGCAUAUUCAUGGGUUUUUCCUGCCCUUAGUACUCAAUUCCUAAGCUGCCUUUACUCACUUCCAUUUUCAAAAAAUGAGAAAAAAGUGAAACUUCCUCAAAAUCAUACUGUCUUCAACUUUUACUGCCUUGACAACUGGACCAAUAUGUGUGUGAAUGAUUUUGUCAAUUUCUAGACUUUGUAUUGUCAGGUUUUCACAGAGGAAUGUAAACUGCUAUGAACAGAGAAAUCAAUUGAAUUUCUUUAAAAAAUAUAUUUAUUUUUUUGUUGUAGUCAGACACAAAACCUUCUUUUUAAUCAAUUUAUGUGGUGCUGAGGAUUGAACCUAGGGCCUCACACAUGCUAGGCAAGCACUGAGCCACAACCCCAGCCCCAUCAAUUGAAUUUCUUGUUAUGGUUCCUACUGGUAGAAUAUAAGGAUUACAGCAAGUGCAGAUUAAAGUCUUAGAGUAUCUCAUUUACAUAUAUAAAUGCAAUGAAUUAAGAGAUUACUAUGACAUUCCUUAAAGAAAAAGAUUAAGAGCAUUAUUAUAAGCCACACUUUAAGGAGACCCAGAAUCAAAAAAAAUUUCAGGGUUUGUAAUAGGAGAAAAGGCACAAUGGUUUCUUUCUUUCUUUUCUUUCUUUUUUUUUUUUAAAGAGAGAGAGAGAGAAUUUUUUAAUAUUUAUUUUUUUAGUUUUCGGCGGACACAUCAUUUUUAUAUGUGGUGCUGAGGAUUGAACCUGGGCCGCACGCAUGCCAGAGGAGCGCACUACUGCUUGAGCCACAUCCCCAGCCCCCACAAUGGUUUCUGACUCCAAAUGCUGGCUUAUAUAUUCCUGAGUGUUCCUACAGAAAUUUUUUUUUUUAAAUGGCGAUAGGGACAGGAAGGUCAACUUCCAACUCCACUAGAGGCAGAGAGAAAGACAAAUCCUUCCAUUUGGCUGCCCCCACUUCUAGCAUGCUAAGAAGACUCAGUGCUCCUGGAGACUUGGGCCGGUGGCUUGCCAGCCAGGAUUCAAGCUCUGGGAGGUCUACACCCAAAUGUAGCCAGCACCUGUGUUCUGGGUCUUUGGUUCAGAUUUGGGUGCUCCCUGGGGAUGAAUGAGACCAGAGUUACCUGCCUGCACAGCAAGACUUCAUCUGGCUCUCCCUUUCACAAUGAGAAAGACAACAGCCAGCACACAAAACAACAAUGUAAUCCCCCACACCCCCACACACACUGUGCCACUAGAGAAGCUCAACCUCUUUCACAGGUGGUGGUGUAGCAGGGUAGAACAGUUUGAUUACUUUUUCCAGUGUCUGCUGUUAAUACAUGAGGCACAUCUGUCCUGAGAAGGGAUAAAUGACUCUUAUGGAGAAAAUAAAUCCUGGAAACUUUCCUCUUUUUCUUUCGUGCUGGGGAUCAAAAUCAGGUCCUGGGGUUGUGGCUCAUAGUAGAAUGCUUGCCUCGCAUGCAUGAGACCCUGGGUUUGAUCUCCAGCACCACAUAAAAU